rnacentral:rRNA from 1 species
UACGAAGGGGGCUAGCGUUGUUCGGAAUCACUGGGCGUAAAGGGCGCGUAGGCGGCCGAUCAAGUCGGGGGUGAAAGCCUGUGGCUCAACCACAGAAUUGCCUUCGAUACUGUUUGGCUUGAGACCGGAAGAGGUUAGUGGAACUGCGAGUGUAGAGGUGAAAUUCGUAGAUAUUCGCAAGAACACCAGUGGCGAAGGCGGCUGACUGGUCCGGUUCUGACGCUGAGGCGCGAAAGCGUGGGGAGCGAUCCGG